ACGAACGCUGGCGGCGUGCUUAACCCAUGCCAGUCGAACGCUGAAGCUCAGCUUUUGUUGGGUGGAUGAGUGGCGAACGGGUGAGUAACACGUGAGUAACCUGCCUCCUUCUUUGGGAUAACGCCCGGAAACGGGUGCUAAUACUGGAUAUUCACUGGUCUUCGCAUGGGGGUUGGUGGAAAGGGUUUUUCUGGUGGGGGAUGGGCUCGCGGCCUAUCAGCUUGUUGGUGGGGUGAUGGCCUACCAAGGCUUUGACGGGUAGCCGGCCUGAGAGGGUGACCGGUCACAGUGGGACUGAGAUACGGCCCAGACUCCUACGGGAGGCAGCAGUGGGGAAUAUUGCACAAUGGGCGCAAGCCUGAUGCAGCGACGCCGCGUGAGGGAUGGAGGCCUUCGGGUUGUGAACCUCUUUCGCUCAUGGUCAAGCCGCAACAAUGGUUGUGGUGAGGGUAGUGGGUAAAGAAGCGCCGGCUAACUACGUG
rnacentral:rRNA from 1 species